UGCUGAGUGGCCCUCCUGGAUUUGGGAUGGGCCAGGACAGGCAAUCCCUCCCACCACCCUGCAGUGGCGGGCACCAUUUUGUUUCAUGCCGCAUUCUACAGUGAGGAGCCGCCAUUUUGUGAAAGCGCCCAGCCCACCUGUUGCCGUGCCGCUCCCUGAUUGGCUUAGCCAGCUUUGUUUAUAAAACCCUGUCAUCUUCUCAUUCCUCCCUCUGAUUGGCUGCCUGCUUCCAGACCGGGAAGGUCUCACGUGUAGGCAAUGUUUAUGUUUCUCUAGAGCCGUGCUGGGUGUUUGCCCACGUGCUGGCACCAAGGGCUGCUGGUGGCCUCUGAGAAGAAGCCGGUAUCGGCCCCAUGCAUUGUGACAAUGCCGCUUCCAGCGGCACUGCCGCAGGGCAGGGCAGAGCCUGGCAGCCAGGAAGGCGGUGCCUUAGGAGAAAGCAUGCUUGGCAAGGACCGCCAAACAGGGCAACCUGCUGCUCAGCAGUGGGGAGUGAGGAGGAGAAAGUGUGAGAAACAGCUGUGCAAAGGCCAAGCGCAACCCUUGGAAGAGAGCACGCCGGCGCGGGUCGAUGUGUCCUGAGGGAAGCUGCAGGCCCCAGAGAGCACGCACAAGAGCCUGCAGGGCACCGUGCAUGGGUAAAGCAAGGCGUCCUUCACUGCCUGCA